GAGCGGACAGAUGGGAGCUUGCUCCCUGAUGUUAGCGGCGGACGGGUGAGUAACACGUGGGUAACCUGCCUGUAAGACUGGGAUAACUCCGGGAAACCGGGGCUAAUACCGGAUGGUUGUUUGAACCGCAUGGUUCAGACAUAAAAGGUGGCUUCGGCUACCACUUACAGAUGGACCCGCGGCGCAUUAGCUAGUUGGUGAGGUAACGGCUCACCAAGGCGACGAUGCGUAGCCGACCUGAGAGGGUGAUCGGCCACACUGGGACUGAGACACGGCCCAGACUCCUACGGGAGGCAGCAGUAGGGAAUCUUCCGCAAUGGACGAAAGUCUGACGGAGCAACGCCGCGUGAGUGAUGAAGGUUUUCGGAUCGUAAAGCUCUGUUGUUAGGGAAGAACAAGUGCCGUUCAAAUAGGGCGGCACCUUGACGGUACCUAACCAGAAAGCCACGGCUAACUACGUGCCAGCAGCCGCGGUAAUACGUAGGUGGCAAGCGUUGUCCGGAAUUAUUGGGCGUAAAGGGCUCGCAGGCGGUUUCUUAAGUCUGAUGUGAAAGCCCCCGGCUCAACCGGGGAGGGUCAUUGGAAACUGGGGAACUUGAGUGCAGAAGAGGAGAGUGGAAUUCCACGUGUAGCGGUGAAAUGCGUAGAGAUGUGGAGGAACACCAGUGGCGAAGGCGACUCUCUGGUCUGUAACUGACGCUGAGGAGCGAAAGCGUGGGGAGCGAACAGGAUUAGAUACCCUGGUAGUCCACGCCGUAAACGAU
rnacentral:rRNA from 1 species